AGCUUUGUGCAGUGGCAGUAUCGCAGCCAAUGAGGUUUAUCCGAGGCUCAAUUAUUGCUAAAAUAGGCAAGGAGUGGGGAAAUAAUGAUGCAGUCCUUUCAGUUCCUGAAACUUUUAGAGAUCAUAUGUUC
rnacentral:snRNA from 1 species